rnacentral:lncRNA from 1 species
AUUAUUAGAAGCUACAUGUACUUCCUAUUAUAAUAACACUAAAUUCUGCAUAAUAACAUGCAAGUAACCCUUUUUAAGGUUGUUAUUUAAAUAUUACAUUUUAUUCCUUUAAUAAUUUUUAUUAAAAUAAUAAUACAAUUUUUAAUUGUGAUGACUGGACAUUUUAUCACCUUGACCCUUAAAAAUAUACUGAUUUUUUUAUUCAGAAAAAAAAAAAAAGAUAAAAAGUAUUAUGCCAGAAGAGGUCAUUCCAAGUCAAUGUAUAUGUUAAUUGCAUUGUUUAUGUAUUUUGAUUGAAUUUUAAAUAAAAUAAAAAUAAUAAAAACCUCAUCAUUUACAAAUAAAUUUUCAUUAAUAAAAAAAAUAGUUUGAUGGAAUCAAACACCAAUUAUUUCAUUGGCUAUUUUUGUGUGCUCUGUCUUUUUUUUUAUUUACUUAUUAGACUAUCAUUAGCUAAUAUGCUAACACUGAGUCUCUCCCGUGCAGAGCACUAUUUAUAGUAAGCGCUGCAGAGACUUGCUGCCCACGUAGAGUGUUCCAAAUCAGUCACUUAUGAGGUUCUGUGAUGCCGUCUACGUAGGCAGCAGGUAGCGAGGCACUACGUUUCGGAAACGAGCUAUUGUUUCCGUAAUUACAAACACACACCCACACUCGCACCAACACACGUUUGCACACGUACACACGUGGCAUUCCUCCAAAUAAAGCAUGCAAAUGCCGUGUUGGAGAAAUGUGGCCCAGAGUGCAUAAUUUAGCAGAAAAGGUGGCGGAGAGAGGGGGAAAGGCCGUGAUUAUGUGUACAAAACAAGAGGGACAAAACACUAGAGACAGGCAUAAUAACCAAACAUGAACUCACAAACCCUAAUGAUGACACCAGGGACGAGAACAGUUGCUGCUGAACCAAGCAGAAAAUUGCUGGUCAUUUGUAAACAGGUAACGAUGCGGGCCAGGUGUGUGAGCAUAUGUAGCCGAGCGGGGACGAGUGUGUGUGUGUGUGUGUGUGUGUCCGGCGUGGUCAGCUGUCAGGCUCAUUAG